UUCGGGGAGGUAGUGACGAAAAAUAACAAUACAGGACUCAUAUCCGAGGCCCUGUAAUUGGAAUGAGUACACUUUAAAUCCUUUAACAAGGACCUAUUGGAGGGCAAGUCUGGUGCCAGCAGCCGCGGUAAUUCCAGCUCCAAUAGCGUAUAUUAAAGUUGUUGCGGUUAAAACGUUCGUAGUUGAAUUUGUGCUUGAUACGGGUAGUACAUCUAUAAUUGUGGAUUGUACAUUACCUUAUGUAUGCAAGCGUAUUAUCGGUGGAGUUCUUAUAUAUAAUGGUACUUGUAUUAUUAUAUAUUCCUCCUAUUUAAACCUGCUUCAGUGCUCUUCAUCGAGUGUUGUUGUGGGCCGGUACAAUUACUUUGAACAAAUUAGAGUGCUUAAAGCAGGCUCCAAAUGCCUGAAUAUUUUGUGCAUGGAAUAAUGAAAUAAGACCUCUGUUCUACUUUCAUUGGUUUUUAGAUCAAGAGGUAAUGAUUAAUAGAAGCAGUUUGGGGGCAUUAGUAUUACGACGCGAGAGGUGAAAUUCUUGGACCGUCGUAAGACUAACUUAAGCGAAAGCAUUUGCCAAAGAUGUUUUCAUUAAUCAAGAACGAAAGUUAGAG
rnacentral:rRNA from 1 species